GGUGGCAGAGCUGCAGCCCUGGCCCUGGUGGAUAGGGGUGGAUGGCUGGGGAGAGACAGGGAGGAGCGGGAGGGGCAAGAGCAGGUGAGGAGUCCUCCCUGGGGGUGUGCACUUUGCAUUCCAGCUAGGGAGGCUGAGACUGAGGGGCCACAGCUGGUUCCUGGACCCCAAAGCCCAGGGGCCUUCCAAACCGUGCCCGGGAUGGCACUGCGGCCAGGACCCUUUUCUGAAGGGUUUUUGUUUCUUUGAUUGUAAAAUAGACCCCUGUUGGUGGUAGAAAAUUGAAAGGCAAAAAAAAGGCAUUAGAAUCUCCCCCAGUCUCCCACCCUGGCGGCCUUUGCCCGUUUCUUCCCGGGGAGUUUUCUGGGCAUUAACAGAUGUCUGCUCUGCAGACCUGGCCUUGUGCCACCCUGGAAGCUCCGUGCCCAACUCACCCUUCCGUGGCUUCCUGUGGCCAGGGGGCUCCCUCCCCUUCCUGCCCUAGGUCCGAGGUGCCAACAGCUGCCUGGGGUCACAGGCAUCUCCCUGUGGACACUGAGGGAGGGCCUUGGCGGGGCUGGGUUCUCCCGCUGGGUUCCCUGCACCCUGCAUCCCCAGCCCCACCCCCAGCCAUGGGAAAGGUGCGCUUGGGAGGGGCCCACGCAGAUGGGGUCCUGCUCUGGCCUGAGGGCGGCCAUCCUCUGCUCAGGAGGGUUAAGCUCCUUUAUGCCCCAGGGAGCUUCAAGCCGAUCAAUACCGGGCUGGAAGUGGAGGUGGGGGCUGCAGCUGGGGGGCCCCCGACCCUCACCCCAGACAUACUUACUCUUCCCUGCUCCAGCCUCUCUGCAGUGGGAGGUCAGGUCAGCAGCCCUCCUGCCACUGCCCCUGGACUCCUGCUGAGGCUGUCCCAGGCCUGUCUCCCAUCCCACCCCCCACCCUGCGGAGGCGGCCUCACCAGCCAGCCUCUGCCCCAGCAGUUAUUUUUAGCCCCAGACUGAUCCGCAGAGGGAGGCGGGUGAGGCCCUCAGGCCUUGCCCAGGGCGGCCAGUUCCCCACCCACCAAGGGAGGCAGGAGGGCUUCCCUGCACAGGCGGGCAUGGCUGACCCCUCAAGGCGGAACAGUGGGGGCUUUCUUCCUUCCUGGGUGUGAUUCGGGGGCAGGGCCGAAGGCCUGGAGCCUAAGGGGCUUGUCCUAGGAGCCCCAUAGCCAGGUGUCGUCCUCCCAGCUGUCCGUCCCCUCCCUCCUGACCCUGUCCAGCCCACAGCCCCCAUGGGAGCCCCAGAGAGGACAGUCGCAGCAGACGGCACAGGCAGACGCAGAGAACAUUUACAGGGACCAGCUGCAGUGAAGAUCAACCAGGCCUUGACCCCUGAUCUGUUUGGAGCAGUUUCAAGCAUGGAUUUCUCUGAGUGCCGGCUUACUACAAAGAGAACAGCCCUAAUGAUUUAUUUGAGGUGUUCGCCGUGUGAUUUUGGGGAGACUCCACGGUUCGCAGUGUGUUUACAGACCUGCAGCCUCCCCACAGGCCCUUCAGAACAUUGUCCUCCCCCCGGAAAGAAGCCAGCAACUUCCAGGGCCACCUCCACCCCAGGCCCCGGCAGUGCCUCGUCUGCUGUCUCUGGGAAGUUCCCCCUUCUGCUGUUCCAUGUGACCUGCGGUUGUGUGUAACAUGGGAUAGCUGUGUGCCGUGUGGUUGUGUGCGAGAUGCGAUUGUGUAUGACAUGACGUGGUUGUGUGUGAUGCGCCAUCGCGUGUAACAUGGGAUCCGUGUGACAUGUGGUUGUGUGUAAGAUGUGAUUGUGUGUGAUGCGCCAUCGCGUGUAACAUGGGAUAUCUGUGUGCCAUGUGGUUGUGUGUGAGAUACGAUUGUGUGUGACAUGCAUCCCACGUCACGUGGUUGUGUGUGAUGCGCCAUCGUGUGCAUGGGAUCCAUGUGACGUGUGGUUGUGUGUAAGAUGUGAUUGUGUGUGAUGCGCCAUCGCGUGUAACAUGGGAUAUCUGUGUGCCAUGUGGUUGUGUGUGAGAUACGAUUGUGUGUUACAUGCAUCCCAUGUCACGUGGUUGUGUGUGAUGCGCCAUCGUGUGCAUGGGAUCCGUGUGACGUGUGGUUGUGUGUAAGAUGUGAUUGUGUGUGAUGCGCCAUCGCGUAUAACAUGGGAUCCAUGUGACAUGUGGUUGUGUGUAAGAUGUGAUUGUGUGUGAUGCGCCAUCGCGUGUAACAUGGGAUAUCUGUGUGCCAUGUGGUUGUGUGUGAGAUACGAUUGUGUGUGACAUGCAUCCCACGUCACGUGGUUGUGUGUGAUGCGCCAUCGUGUGCAUGGGAUCCAUGUGAUGUGUGGUUGUGUGUAAGAUGUGAUUGUGUGUGAUGCUCCAUCGCAUGUAAAUGGGAUAUCUGUGUGCCAUGUGGUUGUGUGUGAUACGAUUGUGUGUGACAUGCAUCCCACGUCACGUGGUUGUGUGUGAUCCGACGUCGGGUGCAUGGGAUCCGUGUGACGUGUGGUUGUAAGAUGUGAUUGUGUGUGAUGCGCCAUCGCGUGUAACAUGGGAUAUCUGUGUGCCAUGUGGUUGUGAGAUACGAUUGUGUGUGACAUGCAUCCCAUGUCACGUGGUUGUGUGUGAUGCGCCAUCGUGUGCAUGGGAUCCAUGUGAUGUGUGGUUGUGUGUAAGAUGUGAUUGUGUGUGAUGCGCCAUCGCCUGUAACAUGGGAUAUCUGUGUGCCAUGUGGUUGUGAGAUACGAUUGUGUGUGACAUGCAUCCCAUGUCACGUGGUUGUGUGUGAUGCGCCAUCGUGUGCAUGGGAUCCAUGUGACGUGUGGUUGUGUGUGAGAUGCGAUGGUGUAUGACGUGUCCUGUAUGACAUGCGGUUGUGUGUAAUUCAUGAUUGUAACACGUGUGAUCUGUGUGUGUGAUACACCGUCGUGUGUAACAUGGGAUCCGUGUGCUGUGAGGUCGUGUGUGGCGUGUCUGGCUUCCUUAGCCAAGCACAGCUCUUUCCCGAUGCACCCAUGUUUGAGUGUGUCUCCGUGCCCCCUUCCUUUCUAUGUCAAAUGACGCUCCCCACAUGGGUGAGCACACGGUGUCUGUCCAUCUGUCAGUCUGGGCUCUCACAUUGGAGUGAUUGAAGCCUCUGCUAACUGGUACAGUCAGGCUGUCUGCCUUUUGGCUGCUGUGCGUAAAGCUGCCGUGAACUUUC